rnacentral:rRNA from 1 species
UAGAGUUUGAUCAUGGCUCAGGAUGAACGCUGGCGGCGUGCUUAACACAUGCAAGUCGAACGAUGAUCCUCACUUGUGGGGGGAUUAGUGGCGAACGGGUGAGUAACACGUGAGUAACCUGCCCUUGACUCUGGGAUAAGCCUGGGAAACUGGGUCUAAUACCGGAUAUGACUGAUCAUCGCAUGGUGGUUGGUGGAAAGCUUUUGCGGUUUUGGAUGGACUCGCGGCCUAUCAGCUUGUUGGUGGGGUAAUGGCCUACCAAGGCGACGACGGGUAGCCGGCCUGAGAGGGUGACCGGCCACACUGGGACUGAGACACGGCCCAGACUCCUACGGGAGGCAGCAGUGGGGAAUAUUGCACAAUGGGCGGAAGCCUGAUGCAGCGACGCCGCGUGAGGGAUGACGGCCUUCGGGUUGUAAACCUCUUUCAGUAGGGAAGAAGCGUAAGUGACGGUACCUGCAGAAGAAGCCCCGAUCCUC